rnacentral:rRNA from 1 species
UAGCUAGUUGGUGAGGUAAAGGCUUACCAAGGCGGCGAUCUGUAGCGGGUCUGAGAGGAUGAUCCGCCACACUGGAACUGAGACACGGUCCAGACUCCUACGGGAGGCAGCAGUGGGGAAUUUUGGGCAAUGGGGGUAACCCUGAUCCAGCCAUGCCGCGUGAGUGAAGAAGGCCUUCGGGUUGUAAAGCUCUUUCGGCCGGGAAGAAAUCGCAUGGGCCAAUACCCUGUGUGGAUGACGGUACCGGAAUAAGAAGCACCGGCUAACUACGUGCCAGCAGCCGCGGUAAUACGUAGGGUGCGAGCGUUAAUCGGAAUUACUGGGCGUAAAGCGUGCGCAGGCGGUUUUGUAAGACAGGCGUGAAAUCCCCGGGCUUAACCUGGGAACUGCGUUUGUGACUGCAAGGCUAGAGUACGGCAGAGGGGGGUGGAAUUCCACGUGUAGCAGUGAAAUGCGUAGAGAUGUGGAGGAACACCAAUGGCGAAGGCAGCCCCCUGGGUCGAUACUGACGCUCAUGCACGAAAGCGUGGGUAGCAAACAGGAUUAGAUACCCUGGUAGUCCACGCCCUAAACUAUGUCAACUAGGUGUUGGGUGGGUAAAACCAUUUAGUACCGUAGCUAACGCGUGAAGUUGACCGCCUGGGGAGUACGGCCGCAAGGUUAAAACUCAAAGGAAUUGACGGGGACCCGCACAAGCGGUGGAUGAUGUGGAUUAAUUCGAUGCAACGCGAAAAACCUUACCUACCCUUGACAUGCCAGGAACUUGCCAGAGAUGGCUUGGUGCCCGAAAGGGAGCCUGGACACAGGUGCUGCAUGGCUGUCGUCAGCUCGUGUCGUGAGAUGUUGGGUUAAGUCCCGCAACGAGCGCAACCCUUGUCGUUAAUUGCCAUCAUUUAGUUGGGCACUUUAACGAGACUGCCGGUGACAAACCGGAGGAAGGUGGGGAUGACGUCAAGUCCUCAUGGCCCUUAUGGGUAGGGCUUCACACGUCAUACAAUGGUCGGUACAAAGGGUUGCCAAGCCGCGAGGCGGAGCCAAUCCCAGAAAGCCGAUCGUAGUCCGGAUUGCAGGCUGCAACUCGCCUGCAUGAAGUCGGAAUCGCUAGUAAUCGUGGAUCAGCAUGUCACGGUGAAUACGUUCCCGGGUCUUGUACACACCGCCCGUCACACCAUGGGAGCGGGUUCCGCCAGAAGUAGGUAGCCUAACCGCAAGGGGGGCGCUUACCACGGCGGGGUUCGUGACUGGGGUGAAGUCGAAACAAGGUAGCCGUAGGGGAACCUGCGGCUG